rnacentral:rRNA from 1 species
AGAGUUUGAUCAUGGCUCAGAUUGAACGCUGGCGGCAGGCCUAACACAUGCAAGUCGAACGGUAACAUUUCUAGCUUGCUAGAAGAUGACGAGUGGCGGACGGGUGAGUAAUGCUUAGGAAUUUGCCUUUUAGUGGGGGACAACAGUUGGAAACGACUGCUAAUACCGCAUAAUACCUACGGGUCAAAGGGGGCUUCGGCUCUCGCUAGAAGAGAAGCCUAAGUGAGAUUAGCUAGUUGGUGAGGUAAAGGCUCACCAAGGCGACGAUCUCUAGCUGUUCUGAGAGGAAGAUCAGCCACACUGGGACUGAGACACGGCCCAGACUCCUACGGGAGGCAGCAGUGGGGAAUAUUGCACAAUGGGGGGAACCCUGAUGCAGCCAUGCCGCGUGUGUGAAGAAGGCCUUCGGGUUGUAAAGCACUUUCAGUUGUGAGGAAAAGUUAGUAGUUAAUACCUGCUAGCCGUGACGUUAACAACAGAAGAAGCACCGGCUAACUCCGUGCCAGCAGCCGCGGUAAUACGGAGGGUGCGAGCGUUAAUCGGAAUUACUGGGCGUAAAGCGCACGCAGGCGGUUUGACAAGCUAGAUGUGAAAGCCCCGGGCUUAACCUGGGAAUUGCAUUUAGAACUGUCAGACUAGAGUCAUCUAGAGGGGAGUGGAAUUCCAGGUGUAGCGGUGAAAUGCGUAGAGAUCUGGAGGAACAUCAGUGGCGAAGGCGACUCCCUGGAGAUAGACUGACGCUCAUGUGCGAAAGCGUGGGUAGCGAACAGGAUUAGAUACCCUGGUAGUCCACGCCGUAAACGCUGUCUACUAGCUGUAUGUUGUUUUUAAACGAUGUGUGGCGUAGCUAACGCGCUAAGUAGACCGCCUGGGGAGUACGGUCGCAAGAUUAAAACUCAAAUGAAUUGACG